GACGAACGCUGGCGGCGUGCUUAACACAUGCAAGUCGAACGGAAAGGCCUUGCUUUUGUGGGGUGCUCGAGUGGCGAACGGGUGAGUAACACGUGAGUAACCUGCCCUUGACUGUGGGAUAACUUCAGGAAACUGGGGCUAAUACCGGAUAGGAGCUCCUGCUGCAUGGUGGGGGUUGGAAAGUUUCGGCGGUUGGGGAUGGACUCGCGGCUUAUCAGCUUGUUGGUGGUGUAGUGGCUUACCAAGGCUUUGACGGGUAGCCGGCCGGAUAGGGUGACCGGCCACAUUGGGACUGAGAUACGGCCCAGACUCCUACGGGAGGAAGCAGUGGGGAAUAUUGCACAAUGGGCGGAGGCCUGAUGCAGCAACGCCGCGUGCGGGAUGAAGGCCUUCGGGUUGUAAACCGCUUUCGCCUGUGACGAAGCGUGAGUGACGGUAAUGGGUAAAGAAGCACCGGCUAACUACGUG
rnacentral:rRNA from 1 species